rnacentral:rRNA from 1 species
AUUGAACGCUGGCGGAAUGCUUUACACAUGCAAGUCGAACGGUAGAGGGGGCAACCCCUCGAGAGUGGCGAACGGGUGAGUAAUGCGUCGGAACGUGCCGAGUAGUGGGGGAUAACGCAGCGAAAGUUGUGCUAAUACCGCAUACGUACUGAGGUAGAAAGUGGGGGACCUUCGGGCCUCACGCUAUUCGAGCGGCCGACGUCUGAUUAGCUAGUAGGUGAGGUAAAGGCUCACCUAGGCGACGAUCAGUAGCGGGUCUGAGAGGAUGAUCCGCCACACUGGGACUGAGACACGGCCCAGACUCCUACGGGAGGCAGCAGUGGGGAAUUUUGGACAAUGGGCGAAAGCCUGAUCCAGCCAUGCCGCGUGUCUGAAGAAGGCCUUCGGGUUGUAAAGGACUUUUGUCAGGGAGGAAAUCCCUAGUGCUAAUAACACUGGGGGAUGACAGUACCUGAAGAAUAAGCACCGGCUAACUACGUGCCAGCAGCCGCCGUAA